rnacentral:rRNA from 1 species
AAUAGAUACCCAGGUAGUCCACGCCGUAAACGAUGAGUGCUAAGUGUUAGAGGGCUUCCACCCUUUAGUGCUGCAGCUAACGCAUUAAGCACUCCGCCUGGGGAGUACGGCCGCAAGGCUGAAACUCAAAGGAAUUGACGGGGGCCCGCACAAGCGGUGGAGCAUGUGGUUUAAUUCGAAGCAACGCGAAGAACCUUACCAGGUCUUGACAUCCUUCGCUACCUCUAGAGAUAGAGGGUUCCCCUUCGGGGGACGGAGUGACAGGUGGUGCAUGGUUGUCGUCAGCUCGUGUCGUGAGAUGUUGGGUUAAGUCCCGCAACGAGCGCAACCCUUGACCUUAGUUGCCAGCAUUCAGUUGGGCACUCUAAGGUGACUGCCGGUGACAAACCGGAGGAAGGUGGGGAUGACGUCAAAUCAUCAUGCCCCUUAUGACCUGGGCUACACACGUGCUACAAUGGAUGGUACAAAGGGUCGCGAAACCGCGAGGUGGAGCCAAUCCCAAAAAACCAUUCUCAGUUCGGAUUGCAGGCUGCAAC